rnacentral:misc_RNA from 1 species
GAUGAAGAACGUAGCAAAAUGCGAUAAGUAAUGUGAAUUGCAGAAUUCAGUGAAUCAUCGAAUCUUUGAACGCACAUUGCGCCCGCCAGUAUUCUGGCGGGCAUGCCUGUUCGAGCGUCAUUUCAACCCUCAAGCACAGCUUGGUGUUGGGACUCGCGUUAAUUCGCGUUCCCCAAAUUGAUUGGCGGUCACGUCGAGCUUCCAUAGCGUAGUAGUAAAACCCUCGUUACUGGUAAUCGUCGCGGCCACGCCGUUAAACCCCAACUUCUGAAUGUUGACCUCGGAUCAGGUAGGAAUACCCGCUGAACUUAAGCAUAUAAUAAGCGGAGGA